AGGGAAUCUUCCACAAUGGACGCAAGUCUGAUGGAGCAACGCCGCGUGAGUGAAGAAGGUCUUCGGAUCGUAAAGCUCUGUUGUUGGUGAAGAAGGAUAGAGGCAGUAACUGGUCUUUAUUUGACGGUAAUCAACCAGAAAGUCACGGCUAACUACGUGCCAGCAGCCGCGGUAAUACGUAGGUGGCAAGCGUUGUCCGGAUUUAUUGGGCGUAAAGCGAGCGCAGGCGGAAUGAUAAGUCUGAUGUGAAAGCCCACGGCUCAACCGUGGAACUGCAUCGGAAACUGUC
rnacentral:rRNA from 1 species